UACAGAGGGUGCGAGCGUUAAUCGGAAUUACUGGGCGUAAAGCGUGCGUAGACGGUUAUUUAAGUCGGGUGUGAAAGCCCCGGGCUCAACCUGGGAAUUGCAUUCGAGACUGAAUAGCUAGGGUACGGUAGAGGGAAGUGGAAUUUCCGGUGUAGCGGUGAAAUGCGUAGAUAUCGGAAGGAACAUCAGUGGCGAAAGCGACUUCCUGGACCAGUACCGACGUUCAGGCACGAAAGCGUGGGGA
rnacentral:rRNA from 1 species